rnacentral:tRNA from 1 species
GCCUGUGUUGCUCAGUGGAUAGAGCAUCGGCCUGCAAACUGAAGUCCUGGGUUCGAUUCCGGUCAAGGGCU